UACGUAGGGACCAAGCGUUGUUCGGAUUUACUGGGCGUAAAGGGCGCGUAGGCGGCGCGGUAAGUCACUUGUGAAAUCUCUGAGCUUAACUCAGAACGGCCAAGUGAUACUGCAGUGCUAGAGUGCGGAAGGGGCAAUCGGAAUUCUUGGUGUAGCGGUGAAAUGCGUAGAUAUCAAGAGGAACACCUGAGGUGAAGACGGGUUGCUGGGCCGACACUGACGCUGAGUGCGCGAAAGCCAGGGAGCAAACGGG
rnacentral:rRNA from 1 species